GUUGCUUUAAGGCUCUUAACUUUCAAGUUUCAAGGCUCUUACUUACAAGUUACAAAACCAGGAGAGCCCAAUCCUUUUGAUGUUCCAGGCCAGAAAUCGGGAAAAAGACAAGCAAAAAUCGAUUUAUUUGGUCUUCACUCUCAUCUUCCGAUUUAGUGGAUAAUCACUCGCACUCUCACUCUCACUCUCACUCUCACUCUCAUAUGUCCUUGUAGCGACACUACAACUCCAAACAUCCACCGCUGCUGUAGUGUUGUACCUUUUAAAGGAGUUCUCUAACAGCACUCAGAAUCAAAAUGUCUGAAUAUGAAAUACCUUUCCAUAUUCAAGUGGAUAUCAUGAAAAGGACAGUCAAAUCAUUGGCGUGCUGAGUUAAUGAAUCUUAAUAUGAUAAUAUCCUUUGAUGUGACUAAUGAGAAGUUUGAGACGAUAGACCUUCCGGAUAGUUUAGCUUGCCAUAAUAUCAUGGACUUGCAUAUAUCUAAGAUAAGGGACUCGCUUGCCAUGCUUCAAGAAAGGGAGAACAUCUAUACUGUAUGGAUGAUGGAGCAUAGUGUUCAAAGACCAUUUACACAGCUGUUCAGUAUAGAGACACGACAUCAUAUAGUGGGGUUUAGGGAGAGUGGCAUACCUAUAUUGCAAGUGACAGAUAAUCAUCAUGAUGAUUAUGAGGUGAAGUAUGAAAUUGUUGUUUAUGAGCCCAACUUAGAACACGACAACGUUCUUGAGACUUCUGUAUCAUGUUGCUGCUUCGAAAUGCAUUCCUACAUGGAAACACUACUUUUGCUUGGUCGGCCUCGCUGGAAAAGUUAUUGACAUAAUGGCCACAUUCUGAUGGUGGUCUUAUGUUCCAUGGUUGUCCUUUAAAAAGGUGAAGCAAAAUUCGAUUACUUCAAUAUUCUGACAUCUGACUUACACGAUUUUCAUUCUAAUUGGCUAUAAACCCAACGUCUCUGACUCUCAUAUCGCCACCACGCAUCCACCGGUGCUCUCUUUGCCACCACUAACCGCUGUUGUAGAGGGGUACCUUGUAAGUUUCAUGUAUUUUUUUUUGUUAAGUUUUACAAAUUGAUUUGGUUUCUUUGAUGAAUGGAUUAUGGUAUGUAUAUGGAUUAUUGGAUUGCUAAUUUCUUUACUCUUUGUGGUUUGCUAA